CCCUACUCCUACGGGAGGCAGCAGUAGGGAAUCUUCCGCAAUGGACGAAAGUCUGACGGAGCAACGCCGCGUGAGUGAUGAAGGUUUUCGGAUCGUAAAGCUCUGUUGUUAGGGAAGAACAAGUACCGUUCGAAUAGGGCGGUACCUUGACGGUACCUAACCAGAAAGCCACGGCUAACUACGUGCCAGCAGCCGCGGUAAUACGUAGGUGGCAAGCGUUGUCCGGAAUUAUUGGGCGUAAAGGGCUCGCAGGCGGUUUCUUAAGUCUGAUGUGAAAGCCCCCGGCUCAACCGGGGAGGGUCAUUGGAAACUGGGGAACUUGAGUGCAGAAGAGGAGAGUGGAAUUCCACGUGUAGCGGUGAAAUGCGUAGAGAUGUGGAGGAACACCAGUGGCGAAGGCGACUCUCUGGUCUGUAACUGACGCUGAGAGCGAAAGCUAAACCCUU
rnacentral:rRNA from 1 species